GCCCAAAAAUCUAGCAACUAAACCCACAAAACCCCAUAACCAAACCAACCAAAACAUUUAUUUAGGCCAGUAAAUGUGAUUGAACACCAUAAAUUAGCCUUACAAGUACCGCAAGGGAACAAUGAAAGAAUAAUGAAAACAUAAAGCACAACACAGUAAAGACCAACCCCCGUACCUCUUGCAUUAUGGUUUAGCAAAACCUUUUCAAACAAAGAGACCUUCAGCCUGCUUUCCCGAAACCAAGCGAGCUAUUUUUGGGCAGCAUAACUAAGAGCAAACCCAUCCCUGUAGCAAUAGGGUGGGAAGACCUAAAAAUAGAGGCAAAAAAACCUACCGAGCCUGGUGAUAGCUGGUUACUCAUAAAAGAAUUUAGUUCAACUUUAGGUCCUACUUAAAUUAUAUCUAAAAUUCUAUUUUAACCUAAAGAAAAUCAAUGGGGGUACAGCCCCAUUGAACCGGAAUACAGCCCGAACUGAGAGAAAUCUAAAUUUAUUACCCCAGUAGGCUUCAAAGCAGCCACCAAAAACCGCGUUACAGCAAAAAAUUAAAAAUCCUAACAACUUACAAAAUCUCCAGAUAUAAUGUGAGUCAUUCUAUAUUAAUAUAGAAACACUAAUGCUAAAAUUAGUAAUAAGAAAUAAUUCUCUUAGCACUCGCUUAAAUCAGAAUAGAAAAACUACUGACAAUUAACAAAUUAAACCUCAAUACUCACCUAGCCAAAAUGUUAUUUUAUCUUGUCAACCCAACACAGGUGUGCAAAAAAGAAAGGUAAAAAACCGUAAAAGGAACUCGGCAAAAACUAGUCCCAACUGUUUACCAAAAACAUAGCCUUUAGCUUAACAAGUAUUAAAGGUCUCGCCUGCCCAGUGACUCUUUUAAACGGCCGCGGUAUCCUAACCGUGCAAAGGUAGCAUAAUCACUUGUCUCUUAAAUAGAGACUAGAAUGAAUGGCUAAAUGAGGACUAAUCUGUCUCUUACGGACAACCAAUGAAAUUAAUCUUUCAGUACAAAAGCUGAAAUAAAAACAUAAGACGAGAAGACCCUGUGGAGCUUCAAACCAAACACACCCUGCAUGCUCCUCAGGUUUUUAGUUGGGGCGACUUCGGAGCACAAUAAAACCUCCAAAAUUUUUAUCUUCAAGAUUAACAAACCAAAAACUUUAUUAGACCCAGCAAUGUAUGACAUUGUCUGAUCACUGAACCAAGUUACCCCAGGGAUAACAGCGCCAUCCCCUCCUAGAGUUCAUAUCGACAAGGGGGUUUACGACCUCGAUGUUGGAUCAGGACACCCCAAUGGUGCAGCCGCCAUUAAAGGUUCGUUUGUUCAACGAUUAAUUAGUCCUACGUGAUCUGAGUUCAGACCGGAGUAAUCCAGGUCGGUUUCUAUCUAUGCGGCACUAUCUUCAGUACGAAAGGACAAAAAUAGUGGGACCAAUACUAAAAAAAGUCCAAAUUAAAACUACUGAUAUCACUAAAGUAGUAAAUAUACCACCGUAUAAUUCAAAAUCAGAAUUU
rnacentral:rRNA from 1 species